GCGGGGGCCGGGCGCCGCGGGACCCGCAUGGCGGAGGCGCGGAGGCGGGUGUUUGUUGGAAAAGUGCUGGAGAGACUGUUUCCUCGUGUUCCCUGUGGCCAAGAAAAGAGGGCAACAUUGGCUCCGGCCCCCAAAAACCCCCCCGAGAAAGUGACACCCGGGAAAGCAAAGUGCAGCUGCGUCCCCCCGUUGACAGGGGGCGACACUGAGGUCCAGCCUGGAAGGCGGCUCUACACUGUGAGUUUGCCGCCGGAGGGGUACGUGCCUGUUCCCCCGGAGCCACCCAGGUGCACGAGUUCUGAGCACUCCUCCAGCGGCGAUGACACAGGAGAUCAGGACCCUCACGAUCAACCAAAGAGAAGAAGAAUUAGAAAACCUAAAUCAAGGAAAAAACUUAAAAAUCCCAGUAAUGUUCCUGUGGAACGAGAACUGGAGAAACAACAGAGUCUCUCACAAGAAAAACUGCAGCCACGGCACACAGACGGCCCCACAAUAAGCAAAAAUAAAAAGAGGAAACUGAAAAAGAAACAGCAAAUCAAAAGGAAGAAAGCAGCUGGCUUACUAACGAGAGCCUCUGGCGUCAGCUUCACGUACCAGCCCGAGGACAGCAGCAGCGAGCAGGGAGCCGUGAGGGCGAGUGACGGGGAGGACGCCACGGAGGGGGACGUCGCGGACACGGAGGGGGACGUCGCGGACGCCGAGGAGGGCGCCACGGAGGAAGGCGGCAAAGGCACCAAUGAAAAGGCAGAUGGUAUCCUAGAUUUUUUGAAGUCAACACAAGAAAUUUAUUUUUAUGAUGGUGCCGCCGCGGACCCGGACGCGGUCUCCAUGGAAAGCGCCGAGCAGCUGCUCCGGUGCGUGGAAGCGGGCAGCGUGUCCCCCUCCGACCUGUGCGCGCUGGGCCGCCUGCAGGCGCUGCUGCUGCUUCGCGACACGGAAGGCCUGCGGGGCGCCCUGGACGCGUUCCCGCAGCGCUGCGCCCUGCCGCCCGACCAUGCCAGAGUGAUCUCAGCUUUCUUUAAUUACUGGAUCGCACAUAUCCUUCCAGAGAAAAAUAGUGAAUAAACUCAGUGCAUCUGCUUAAGAAGAGCUAAUAUUUAGCAAGAAGACAAAUAUGAAAUGAACAGAGACUUAAUUCCUGUCUACAAAGAAGAUGAAAUUCCCUAUAAUUUUGUGACCCAAAACCCUGGGAACUGUGAAGACAUUUCUGUCACAUUAUUUAUUCAUGUAUUUGUACAUACUGGGAAGAUGUCAUCUGAAACUUUGCAUGAGAAAUUAUGAUAAAAUUGUGGAUUCUCACCACCGUGUCCUACCUCACAGCUGACCACGCGUCGCCCGUCCGUGCUGAGGGUCCCCCACGCACGCUCUCCCUCCUUCAGCCGUGGCUUGGAGCUUUGACUGGUGGCCUGGGGGCUGUGUCCUGACCUUUCAAGAGUGACUUCCAGGCCAGCCCUCACAAAGAAGCCUCCUGUUUUCCUACGGUCUGGCCCUCGUCCCAGGGCUGCAGCACUGUGAUGGGUGAUGGAGACCACCUCCAGCCUGCAGAUGGGGCCUCUGCUGGCGGCAGAGUGACGCAGUGAAGGCCCAGGAUGAGGCUGACACACCGGCCCAGCCCCAGCUGGACGUGGACCGAAGGAAGCUCUGUGCAGCAGCCACACCGUCACCCCCCAAAUGACUUCCCCUGGUGGCGGCGCCCGACACAACCCACCGCAGGACACCCUCGCAGACGCCGUCCCGUGAGACACGGGGGGCUGCCUCCCCGCAUGGACCACCAGGUCCCCCGGAGCCCCACCGGGCCCCACUCAGCACCCCGUCUCGCUGCUUUGCUUGUUGCCUGUCUGAUGUAGCAUGUUUCCCCACUGAUUGCUGUGCACACGUCCCCUCGCUCGACAGGGCAAGUCGCACAUGUAUGCUGCCUUCCGGGGAGGCCCCUUCUGGGAUGGUCCACACGUGUCGUUCCCUGACUUUCUGUAGGGUCCCCUCCUUUUCGUCUCGAUCUGCAGGGACUCCUUGCAUGUUCGAGAGCAGAGCCCCGUCUUCUCAGCUGUUUGUCUUUGUGAACUCGCCUGCCCAUGUUCUGCCUCGUGGGCUCGUGAGGCGGAUAAAGCGCUUUCCUGUCCCCAGAUCUUGUGUUUUAUUAGCGCUAUAACUUGACCUUCCCCAUUGGAGUGUUUAAUCCAGUUGAAGUCCACAUUUGAUAUGACAAAAUGAAGGCUCCAGCUUCAUUUUUUUUCUUCCAUACAGUGAGCUGGCCUCUCAGCCCCAGCCUUUAAAAACCUCUGUCCUUUCUCUCUCGAUUGUGCAGCGGCCGUCUUGAUUAAAUGCCGGGUCUCCCGUGUGCCCGUAGGUCCAUUUCUGAACCGUUUCCCUGUGUUGAUCCAUCCGUGUGCUCCUACGGCCCACAGAGCUUGUAUCACUGUCACUGCGAGGUGCACAGGCCUGUCCCCCGCCCCCGCAGUGCGCUGUAUUUUAAAAUUACUUUGCUAUUUAUAUAUUUUUUUCAUAUAAAUUUCAAGUGGUGUUUUUUAGUUUACCUAAAAUUUCAGCUGGGAUUUUUAUUUCUAUUUCAGAAGUUUUGACAUCUUUACAAAAUUAACGCAUCACAUUCAAAGCCAUACAUUUGCUCAUACCUUCUUUUUUGUCCUCCAAUGGGGUUUAAAAUGUGUCUUCAUAAAAGCCUUCGUCGUUAGGUCAAUUCCUUCAGCACCUCUGUGCGGAGUGGCUGUCACAGCUCCCAGCACUGGGGCUCGGGGAUGAAGGCGAUGAGCCGGCCCCGCCCCCUGGAGGUGACAUCCUGUGUGAACAGGAGCAAAGGACUGUUCUGUGGCCUUGUGAGGAUGGCAGCUUAGUGACAGCGAUAGAAUGCAAGGGGACACUCUAGUGCCUUAAUUUUUAUUCUCACUAUUAAUGCUUAUUUACUCACUUACUAUAGGCUAUCUUUUACUAUUUUACCAUAAUAUUUUACUAAAUGAGCAUUGAGUAAAUUUAUUUAUUCACUAUAAUACUUUCUGUUUGAACAGUGAUGGGGGAGAGGAACAAUACUAAUUUGUAUCAGCCGAUCUUAUACCUGGCAACCUUGCUUAGUUUCCUAUUACCUCUAAAAGCCCAUCAAUCGUACUGAGGAAUCUAUUUGAUGAUCUUAUCAACUGCAAAUCUCUUUUCAAUAUUGAUGCUUAUUGUUUUAUUUUCGUGUCUUAUACUUGUUCCUAGGACAUCGAGGGUUCAACAGUAGCAAUGAUACCAGGCAUCCUUGUCUUGUUCCUGAUCUUAGUAUAAAUUAUAUAAACUUUAUCCAAGUAUGAUGUGUAUUAUAGGUUUUUAUAUAUUACCUUUUUCAGGAUAGCAAAUUUCCACCUAUUGUUUUCUGAGACUUUUCAUUAAAUAAACAUUAAAUGUCAUGAAAUGAAUUUUCUGCAUCUCUUCAGAACACAAUUUGAUCAUUCUCUGUUAAUCCACUGUGCAGUGCGGUAGUUUAAGAAAACUGAACACAAAUUGUUUGACGAUCUUCCCACUGAGAGAUGGGUUCUCUGCCCCCUCCCCUGGAAUUUGAGAAGACAUGACUUCUUUGACUAAAGAACAUGAUGGAUGUUAUUGGAUGACUUCCAAGGCAGGUCAACAAGUCACCUGAUUUCCUGGUUCCUCUCUCUGUGGGAAGUCUGAGACCAGCACAGGCACCAGCCAUCAGCCAGCAUGAGCAAUGGGCCAUGAGCGUGAACCGCCCUAGAAGUCUGGCCUCGUCGGGCCUUUAGCUGAUACCAUGUGAGUGACCCAAGCAAAGUGCACAGUCUCGAGUCUGGGCAGUUUGUACGUCAGCAGUGACUGGACCCCGUGGCUGAUUUGCUGACAGACCCCUGAUGCUCACUCUCCUGCGUGACUGUGAAGAGCUGGCUUCCUCAUGUCAUCUUGUGUUGGAUGGCUGUGUCUGCUUGGACCUUCCCAGUCUCACCCACAGUUUGGCAUCUCCUCUCCUUCGGUUUCCUUUGUGGACGUGCCUCACUCAGACCUCCUUCCACAAGAGUGGCUGUGAGAGCACGGCUGCCCCGUGAUGACUGAGCAUUGCAGGAGAGCAUGGUAGGAGAGCACGGCGGGGGAGCACCGUAGAUGAGCGUGGUGGGAUACCUGUAACGCGCAGCAUGUACGCAGGUGUCCCCGUGCGCCCGGCCACAUCACUGACACACCUGCG